GACGAACGCUGGCGGCGUGCUUAACACAUGCAAGUCGAGCGGUAAGGCCCUUUCGGGGGUACACGAGCGGCGAACGGGUGAGUAACACGUGGGUGACCUGCCCUCAGCUCUGGGAUAAGCCUGGGAAACUGGGUCUAAUACUGGAUAUGACUCCACGGUGCAUGUCGUGGGGUGGAAAGCCUUGUGCGGCUGAGGAUGGGCCCGCGGCCUAUCAGCUUGUUGGUGGGGUGANGGCCUACCAAGGCGACGACGGGUAGCUGGCCUGAGAGGGCGACCGGCCACACUGGGACUGAGACACGGCCCAGACUCCUACGGGAGGCAGCAGUGGGGAAUCUUGCGCAAUGGGCGAAAGCCUGACGCAGCGACGCCGCGUGAGGGAUGACGGCCUCGGUUGUAAC
rnacentral:rRNA from 1 species